UACGGGGGGAGCAAGCGUUGUUCGGAUUUACUGGGCGUAAAGGGCGCGUAGGCGGCCAGCACAAGUCAGUUGUGAAAUCUCCGAGCUUAACUCGGAAAGGUCAACUGAUACUGUGCGGCUAGAGUGCGGAAGGGGCAACUGGAAUUCUUGGUGUAGCGGUGAAAUGCGUAGAUAUCAAGAGGAACACCUGCGGCGAAGGCGGGUUGCUGGGCCGACACUGACGCUGAGGCGCGAAAGCCGGGGGAGCGAACGGG
rnacentral:rRNA from 1 species